CCCUCACCACGCGGCUCUGAGCAGGACUGAGCUCAGGCCCCGCCGGUGACGCGCUCGAUUGCAAACUCUCCAGGACAGGGAGAGUUACUAAGCAUUACGUACACCAGCUACUACAAUGAGAUUCUGACCUUGGUUGGGGCCUCUAGGUGCUACUGGAAGAAUGGCAGAACUCCUUAACAUAAUACUACAGUUUAGUUGUGGUAUAACAGCAUAAGAAAUCCCAGAGGAAUUCUUCAAGCAAGUUUUUAGCCAUUGAUUCAUGUUAUGCCAUUCUCCAUCAGAUUGAAGAAACCUUUAGUGGCUGGAAUAUUCUGCCCAUAAAGAUUAAAGAAGACUUCAGGG